rnacentral:rRNA from 2 species
CUGCAUGGCCGUCGUCAGCUCGUGUCGUGAGAUGUUGGGUUAAGUCCCGUAACGAGCGCAACCCCUAUCUUUGGUUGCUAGCAGGUAAUGCUGAGAACUCCAGGGAGACUGCCGGUGACAAACCGGAGGAAGGUGGGGAUGACGUCAGGUCAUCAUGGCCCUUACGGCCAGGGCUACACACGUGCUACAAUGGUGCGCACAGAGGGCUGCAAACUCGCGAGGGUAAGCCAAUCUCUUAAAACGCGUCGUAGUCCGGAUCGCAGUCUGCAACUCGACUGCGUGAAGUCGGAAUCGCUAGUAAUCGUGAAUCAGAAUGUCACGGUGAAUACGUUCCCGGGUCUUGUACACACCGA